UCGCACGCCCGGGGCGUCCCAUUCUCAUUGCGAGAGGGGGCGCACCUAGAGCGUACACGCUGGGACCCGAAAGAUGGUGAACUAUGCCUGGUCAGGACGAAGUCAGGGGAAACCCUGAUGGAGGUCCGUAGCGAUUCUGACGUGCAAAUCGAUCGUCGGAACUGGGUAUAGGGGCGAAAGACCAAUCGAACCAUCUAGUAGCUGGUUCCCUCCGAAGUUUCCCUCAGGAUAGCUGGCGCUCGCUGUGUGCGAGUCUCAUCCGGUAAAGCGAAUGAUUAGAGGCAUUGGGGUCGAAACGGCCUCAACCUAUUCUCAAACUUUAAAUGGGUGAGAUCUCCGGCUUGCUCGAACUA
rnacentral:rRNA from 1 species